rnacentral:lncRNA from 1 species
UCCGGUCUUUGUUUAGUGCAAGUGAGUUUUACUCACUAAUGCUUUAUUAGUAGACUAAUAUGCCUAAGGGUUAAUUAGAUUUAAUUAAUUGCAAUUAGGUGGAUAGAUUAGAUUAAAAUAAUUAAAUUAGAGACUUGUUAAUGCAUGUUAGUUAAAUUGAUGGUGUAAUUAGUAGGUAGACAUGUCCUAUUAAUUAUUGAAGGCAUCUUGGGAUUUUUCCCGUCCCUUAUUGGGUAUUAUUUAAGCAAUUCGAGCCUAGAAGGAAUUUUUAGGAAUUUAAUAUUAAUUUCCAAAUUAAUUAAUUUAAUUAUUUAUUUCCCGAAAAUUCAACUGGGAUGGCCAGUGAUCGGGAUUUUAUGCUGAUGAUCGUGGUG